UAUUUUAAAAGAGAGAUUUUGACCUGGCUCAGGACGAACGCUGGCGGCGUGCCUAAUACAUGCAAGUCGAACGAAGGA
rnacentral:rRNA from 1 species